CAGGGCCCCUGGUGGAGCAGAGCCUGUUUUUCUUGUAGCAGGUGUGGUCAAUGAGGGGCUGAAAUGGACCCUUUUUGAUGGUUGCUGCUCAGUUAUGCAGCUGCUUCAGCAACAUAAAGGAAAGGAACAUUC
ensembl:snoRNA small nucleolar RNA SNORA16B/SNORA16A family